GUUGGUAUGAUGUAAUGGCUGCAUGUCAGAUUGUGGGGUCACGGUUCUCUGCCUGUCCGUGUUCGAUUCACGGUACCAACA